UUACAAUGUUUGACAUUGUCCCCUGUGUC
rnacentral:piRNA from 1 species